CUGCCCCCGGGAGGAGGAGGAGAAGGCGGCGCCGGGCAGGGCGCGGCACGUCCCGGCGGCCUCGGCUUCAGUCCGCGCGGAGCCGGGAGAGGAGCAGCAUCGCCCGCCGCGGCUAUGCCGAAGCACGAGUUCUCUGUUGACAUGACCUGCGAAGGCUGCUCCAAUGCGGUCACGCGCGUUCUCAACAAGCUGGGAGGUGUCCAGUUUGAGAUCGACCUGCCCAACAAGAAGGUGUGCAUCGACUCGGAACACAGCGUCGACACCUUGCUGGCCACGCUGAAGAAAACCGGGAAGAGCGCCUCCUACCUGGGGGAGAAAUAACCCCUGAGCCGACGGGUCCGAGGGUCAGGCUUUCUCCACACCCCAAACAAGGAGUGCUAACAUGAUGGCUUCAGUGAGAAGAUGGCCUGUAUACAGAUCUGUCGACACCCUCUGUCAUUUGACCCCAGUUACCCUGCCAGAUGUUGGAAAGAAGAAGGCUGGGAGGAGGAAGGACCCUCAGAGUGAAGGACCAGGUUCUACUUGAACCAUAGUUUGUAAAACUCCCCUCUUGAAAUGGAGGGUUCAGGUGUGCUCUCCCUCUCUGGCCUUGCAGUAAACGAAGGAGCCGCUUCUAUUUUCAAAUACA